GGGACUGUGGUUUAGUGGUAGAGUACUUGCCUAGCAUACAUGAGGCCCUGGGUUCAAUUCCUCAGUACCA
rnacentral:tRNA from 1 species